UGCAAGUGUUAUCCGGAAUCACUGGGCGUAAAGCGUCUGUAGGUGGUUUGCUAAGUCCGCUGUUAAAGCUUGAAGCUCAACUUCGAAAAUGCAGUGGAAACUAGUAGACUUGAGUGUGGUAGGGGUAGAGGGAAUUUCCAGUGAAGUGGUGAAAUGCGUAGAUAUUGGAAAGACCACCAAUGGCGAAGGCACUCUACUGGGCCACAACUGACACUGAGAGACGAAAGCUAGGGGAGCAAAUGGG
rnacentral:rRNA from 1 species